rnacentral:rRNA from 1 species
UGGGGAAUAUUGCACAAUGGGCGGAAGCCUGAUGCAGCGACGCCGCGUGAGGGAUGACGGCCUUCGGGUUGUAAACCUCUUUCAGCAGGGAAGAAGCGCAAGUGACGGUACCUGCAGAAGAAGCACCGGCUAACUACGUGCCAGCAGCCGCGGUAAUACGUAGGGUGCGAGCGUUGUCCGGAAUUAUUGGGCGUAAAGAGCUCGUAGGCGGCUUGUCGCGUCGGAUGUGAAAGCCCGGGGCUUAACUCCGGGUCUGCAUUCGAUACGGGCAGGCUAGAGUGUGGUAGGGGAGAUCGGAAUUCCUGGUGUAGCGGUGAAAUGCGCAGAUAUCAGGAGGAACACCGGUGGCGAAGGCGGAUCUCUGGGCCAUUACUGACGCUGAGGAGCGAAAGCGUGGGGAGCGAACAGGAUUAGAUACCCCCGUAGUCC